GAUGAACGCUGGCGGCGUGCCUAAUACAUGCAAGUCGAGCGAACAGACGAGGAGCUUGCUCCUUUGACGUUAGCGGCGGACGGGUGAGUAACACGUAGGUAACCUACCUAUAAGACUGGGAUAACUUCGGGAAACCGGAGCUAAUACCGGAUAAUAUUUCGAACCGCAUGGUUCGAUAGUGAAAGAUGGCUUUGCUAUCACUUAUAGAUGGACCUGCGCCGUAUUAGCUAGUUGGUAAGGUAACGGCUUACCAAGGCAACGAUACGUAGCCGACCUGAGAGGGUGAUCGGCCACACUGGAACUGAGACACGGUCCAGACUCCUACGGGAGGCAGCAGUAGGGAAUCUUCCGCAAUGGGCGAAAGCCUGACGGAGCAACGCCGCGUGAGUGAUGAAGGUCUUCGGAUCGUAAAACUCUGUUUUUAGGGAAGAACAAACGUGUAAGUAACUGUGCACGUCUUGACGGUACCUAAUCAGAAAGCCACGGCUAACUACGUG
rnacentral:rRNA from 1 species